rnacentral:rRNA from 1 species
GCAAGUCGAGCGCACCUUCGGGUGAGCGGCGGACGGGUUAGUAACGCGUGGGAACGUGCCCUUCUCUACGGAAUAGCCAUUGGAAACGAUGAGUAAUACCGUAUACGCCCUUUGGGGGAAAGAUUUAUCGGAGAAGGAUCGGCCCGCGUUAGAUUAGGUAGUUGGUGGGGUAACGGCCUACCAAGCCUACGAUCUAUAGCUGGUUUGAGAGGAUGAUC